UACGGGGGGGGUAAGCGUUGUUCGGAAUUACUGGGCGUAAAGGGCUCGUAGGCGGCCAACUAAGUCAUACGUGAAAUCCCUCAGCUUAACUGGGGAACUGCGUGUGAUACUGGAUGGCUUGGAUUGGGAGAGGGAUGCGGAAUUCCAGGUGUAGCGGUGAAAUGCGUAGAUAUCUGGAGGAACACCGGUGGCGAAGGCGGCAUCCUGGACCAAUAUUGACGCUGAGGAGCGAAAGCCAGGGGAGCAAAGCGGGG
rnacentral:rRNA from 1 species